UCUUCACUUCUUAAAGUUUAGGGCAGAAAAUUCAAUGGCAACUGCAAGGCUGCCAUGGCCAGUUAUGCUACUCUUCUUUGCUAUGCUCAUUAGUCUUGUUCAAUACACAGAAGCUUCUUAUGAAAACAUAAGAAGCUGCCACCCCCACCUUACUACUACAAAUCUCCACCACCACCACCUUAUUAUUACAAAUCUCCUCCUCCACCACCACCAUCACCACCGCCACCAUCUCCAUCCCCACCACCACCAUCGCCACCACCACCAUCUCCAUCCCCACCACCACCUUAUCAUUACAAAUCACCACCAUCUCCAUCUCCAUCCCCACCACCACCUUAUCAUUACAAAUCGCCGCCGCCUCCACCCCCAUCUCCAUCCCCACCACCACCUUAUCAUUACAAAUCACCCCCUCCUCCACCACCAUCUCCAUCUCCACCACCACCCUAUCAUUACAAAUCUCCUCCUCCUCCACCACCAUCUCCAUCUCCAUCUCCCCCACCUCCUUAUAAAUCUCCAUCACCAGUCCACAAGUAUCCACCACCACCACCACCUUAUUAGUAAGAUCUCAUGACAGGUGAAGGAUAGCUUAAUCUCUGUGGCAGAUUUUUAUCAAUUUCAGUUAAUCUUCAAUAACUAUGAUUCUCGUUCUAAGCUAUAACGAGCAAGGUCAUAGGCCUCCUUUGAAAUGUGUAAUCUUUCUCUGGUUAAAUAAAAAUUGAUCAUUUGUUCAA